AAUGCAUAAAACCUCUGAGUUGAUCCUGAUUUAAAUAAUCCCCUUUUCUAGUUAUAACAGAUUGCUUGCAUACAGGGCAGUGCCUAAGGUAACCUAACAAAAUGGUCACAAAAUUACAAGCUUAGACACAAUGUCUACUCAGGCAUCCUCAGCAUGAUUCCUGAGAUAAGAGUAAUGAUAUUUUACUUGACUGUUCUCCAUUUGGAAGGCUAAUUUAAAGACAAACUCACCAUCCAAUGUAGCACUGGCAGAGAUUCUCAUGGGAAGUAGCUUGCUUAAUAAGCAAUUCUACUUGUGUGGGUACAUCCAAAGUUUCAUCAUGAGAGAAGUCUCGACCUUUACAAUUAAAGUGAAAGAAACAUUAAGCAAGGCCGUAAGCCAAAUUACAUAGCUUGGUUUGGUUGGCAAGUUAUGGAGCAAUGUGAAGAUGACUCUCUCUCCUCUUAUAAUAUAUAUUUAGCACAGAACUGUUCAAAGACAAAACCUCAAAAGCCACAUUGAGUCUAUGUUGAAUCCUUUAGGACACAAGUGUUUUCGAUGAUCCAUCAGCGUCUUCUCUAUCCCCAUCCUCUCCUUCAAACAACAGACAAAAGUAAUGUACUCUUCUCCAGUGUACUUUUUAAAAAUUCCUAGUAGAAGGAAUCCACUGCCUAGCUACAUUAAAGUACCUAAUUUGAGUGGUUCUUAUAUACAUCAUUAAGAGUCUAAAAUGUCACAUCUAAAUUUUUCCAGUUGUGAAGCCAGUAAAAAGGAAUCCGAUUCUGGAGAUUUGAUUUAGAAUCAUCACCUAAAAGAUGAACUGAUCAAAUCUAACCCACCUUAAUUAAAAUUACCUCUACAUUUUCCAAAUAAAAUUGCCUUUCAGAAUACAAAUUACAAAGCCCAAAUAUAUUAAAUGGCUCUGCCCAAUUAAGAAACAGGAUAAUAUGAAAUAAAAUUGAUGAAGAACUAGCACAAAACUGAAAUAUGAUAAUGCCAGGCAAGCACUUAAACCUGAACAUAAUUCUAAUGUCUGUAUUACUUUUACAAUAUUUUAUUUUAGAAAGUAUACACUUACCAGUGAGUUUAUCUCGAACCCUAUUAAUAAUUUGAAUAGCCUUCUUAUUGAGAGCCUCUGGCUUCACUAACCCAUCCCCUACUAGAAGACAGAAGUGAAAACAACAUUUAGACUUUAGACAACAAUGAUCAAAACAAUUUGUGAUGCAGUUACUUUUUUGCCAUGAAUAGUUGACACACAAACCGCUGUUAGCUAUUGGGUUUAAUUAGAGAAGAGAGCAAAGACAGUUAACAAGUUCUUAUCUAUGCUGACAGAGAACCCUUUUUGCCCCACCUUGUAUAGCUCUCAUCUGUAGAGCACUGAAGGUGCUGAUGGAUGAACUAGUUGCCCAUAAUGUAAAAUGUAUGAACUUUUCACAGGAACUUACUGAAGGAAUGGAUGGAUUCAGGCACUGUGGUCCCAGUUUUCUUAUGGGCUGUCUCACCCAGCUCCACAUUAUCCAACAUUUCUAAUGAGAGAGGGGAGAAUAUCAAUACAGUCAUCAAAUACAAAGAAGAUUGACAUUUGUUUGCUUUUCAGGAGAUUCUCAAAAAAAACCUUACACUCAAGCUCAAGUAUGUUGUGUAAAGCUUCUGGUUUACGUGCAAUUCUUACCACCAGGAAGUUAUGUGAUGGGCAACUGCACUUUUAAACUUUUUUUUAUGCCUGGUCACUGCUACAACAUUUGCAGAAAACAGCACUUCAACUGGUCUAGACUGAACAAAAGAAAGAAGUUCUCCAACAGCAUCUAAGAUUACAGAAAAUAAAUUCUUCAAUUGCCAACAUGCAAGUGAAUUUUUUUAAAGCACUUGUUGGCGUAUGUGUGUUUGAAUGAGAGCUAGGAGCAUCAUGAGAUUAAAUAUAACAUGUUGAGCAAAAUGCCUUUUUAGGACUAUGCUAAAAUAUUUAAAGUUUUCAUUAAAACUGACACACAAGGAAAUGGAGCAUUAAAUUGGCCACUGUACUUCAGUACUGCAUGAGACUCAGAAUAUCAUACUCUAUAUAGCAUUUACCAAUAACCCUCCCUCCCUCACAGUCUUAUUGGUGACUAGGAUUGACUGACUUGUUUUUGAAAAGCUUACUAAAUUGUGGCAUAGUGUGCUGAAUACCUCCAUUGCUCUGAUUAAAGGGAUUAUAACUCAAACAGAAAAAGUAUGUUUCAAUCUUAUGUGCUGAAAGCUGCAGUUAACCUUAAAGUACCCUUCUGUACAUUUUGCUUGUUGAAAGAUAUUUUAAAAAGACGCACAAUCAACUUAAAAUAGUAGCCAAGUAACUAAGUUAUUGAAACCCUACUAUUUUAAACAUUAUAGUAGAUGCUUUCCUUUAACAUUUCUCCUACAGGUCCGUUAGCAACCAGCUGCUAGGAUUUUGUGUAACAUUUGUACCAUGUUGCUAUGUGAAACUUCACUGAGCUUACUGCAGCAUUACUAUGCAAAACCGAGCAAGUACAGUUCAUAUCACAGGUCAUAAUUACUCUGUGGGUUGCACCAACUUUUAGGUACUCCACAAAAAUCCUGAUGCCACAUUACAAUGUGAAUAUGACUACAAAGCAGUGGCUGCUAUUCAAGCUGAUGUAGCUUAGCAGUAAAUUAUAUACAUAUGUAAUUAUGAGAUUAAGAGGCACCAGUCAAAACUAAUUGGUGCCUUGAAACCUAGUUUCAAUAAGCAGUUUUUCCAUUGUGCUUUUGAGGAAAAAAAAAAAAAAGACUAGAAAAAUAUUUUUCAAAAUUACACUCCAAUUAAAAAUGACCCAAAUGAACUAAAUGAAAUACAAUAAAACGUUAUACACACCUACUGACUGACUAGCUGAAUAGGAAUCUGUCCUUGUUCGUGAUCGUUUAUUGCCUUUUGUAUUUGCUGCAAAGAAAAUAAAAUGCUUAAGAGUUUUUAUCUUUGAACUAUAGACUUUGGCAAUAUCAGCUUCUCAAACUGAAUCAGUCUUUCUCUGAAUGACACAGGGUUAAGUGUCUUAUUGCUUCAGGCAAAUGAACAACUGCAGAUAAUAUGUGUGUGUGGCUUUUCAAAAUAAAGAUGUUGAAAAAUAAUUCAAAAGGACUCCAGUAAUUUUGUUUUUAAUUGAGUUUUCAGGGCAAAUGGGAUUUCAUCUCUGUGUUUCUUUAUAUUAGGGCUCUUGAACACAGUCCUGUUAACGUUACUGUGUGUGCAUAGACUGCAGAUUUAAACCACCAAGGCCUGAGUUUGAACAGACAUUUGAUUUUGUGCUCCUGAAUGUCUUACUCUGUAAUGUCUGACAGUUUACUCUGAUUUACUUCUCUCUCCUGUUCUCACUGUUUCCCCAGAUAACUUACUGUCC